rnacentral:rRNA from 1 species
UGAACGCUGGCGGCGUGUCUAAGGCAUGCAAGUCGAGCGAAGUGCUCCCGCAAGGGAGAUUACUAGCGGCAAACGGGUGAGUAACACAUUGGUAACCUACCUUGAAGACAGGGAUAGCUCUCCGAAAGGAGAAUUAAUACCUGAUGGAAAUGCGGGGGCGCAAGCCAUUCGCAUUUAAAGCCGCAAGGCGCUUCAAGAGGGGCCUAUGGCCUAUCAGCUAGUUGGCGGGGUAAAUGCCCACCAAGGCGAUGACGGGUAGCAGGCGUGAGAGCGUGGUCUGCCUCACUGGGACUGAGAUACUGCCCAGACACCUACGGGUGGCUGCAGUCAAGAAUCUUCCACAAUGGGGGAAACCCUGAUGGAGCGACGCCGCGUGCAGGAUGAAGGCCUUCGGGUCGUAAACUGCUUUUGUAGGGGACGAAUUAGUGACGGUACCCUAAGAAUAAGAGGUUGCUAACUCUGU